CACGAUGUUGAUAAAGACGACAUUGUGUCCGCCUGUAAGACGUAUUAUGAGACGUUACGCAGGAGCUGAAGCUGCCAAGAAUUCAGCUCGGAGUCGAGCUAGAAGAAAGAGGCUGCUGGAAUCGAGGCAGAGUGUGCAGGCGGAUGAGGAAGUGGAACUCUGGAAGUCCGCCACCGUCGACCUCAUGUCUGGCGAACAAGAUGGCGUCGUUGGCGGGGUCUCUGGAUGGAUUGUAUGGCUGCCGUCAUUUCGUAGGCCGGAUUUCUCUGAACUCUGU